AAUACAAUUUUAAAUCCCUACUCCCAUUUGCAUUUCCCCAAGUUCCAGCAUACCAAUACUGUUUGUUCAAUAACAGUGCAGUAAACUAUCCAUUAUCUGGGUUCACAGAUCAAUGUGACUCCAAAGUACACUGACCCCUCAGAAAGCCAAGUAAAAUACACAAUAUAGCAGAAAUGAAGGGAAAAAAAAAGUGAAAGCUUUUCUGUAUUCUCCUUGGGUGUGCUAUGAUUUAAAUAUCAUUAAAUUCUGCAGUGUAAUAUGCACCCUUUUUUAUUUUUACAUAUUACAUAGUUUUGCAUAUCUGACACUGUACUGGGCGUGUGACUGCCAAUGUACAGAAGUGAACAUUACAUUUAUAAGAUAACAAGAGUGGAAAAGUGGAAACAAAUCAAUACUGUUCAUGCCAUUAGAAGUACAUUCAUGCCUGAUUUUAACUGACCAACUGCAGACCAAGAGGUAGGUCUGGUUAUAGCUUUUGCCAAACUUGAUUGACAAUGGGAGUGUCCCUUUACCUCAAGGUGCAUUUAUGAACUAAAAGAUAACAACAGGUCAUUUAUCCAAGGAAUGUGUCCAGGUCUGAGGCUUCUUUC